rnacentral:rRNA from 1 species
UUGAACGCUGGCGGCAUGCCUUACACAUGCAAGUCGAACGGUAACAGGUCUUCGGAUGCUGACGAGUGGCGAACGGGUGAGUAAUACAUCGGAACGUGCCCGAUCGUGGGGGAUAACGAAGCGAAAGCUUUGCUAAUACCGCAUAAGAUCUACGGAUGAAAGCAGGGGACCGCAAGGCCUUGCGCGAACGGAGCGGCCGAUGGCAGAUUAGGUAGUUGGUGGGAUAAAAGCUUACCAAGCCGACGAUCUGUAGCUGGUCUGAGAGGACGACCAGCCACACUGGGACUGAGACACGGCCCAGACUCCUACGGGAGGCAGCAGUGGGGAAUUUUGGACAAUGGGCGAAAGCCUGAUCCAGCCAUGCCGCGUGCAGGAUGAAGGCCUUCGGGUUGUAAACUGCUUUUGUACGGAACGAAAAGACUCUGGUUAAUACCUGGGGUCCAUGACGGUACCAUAAGAAUAAGCACCGGCUAACUACGUGCCAGCAGCCGCGGUAAUACGUAGGGUGCAAGCGUUAAUCGGAAUUACUGGGCGUAAAGCGUGCGCAGGCGGUUAUAUAAGACAGAUGUGAAAUCCCCGGGCUCAACCUGGGAACUGCGUUUGUGACUGUGGUGCUCGAGUGCGGCAGAGGGGGGUGGAAUUCCACGUGUAGCAGUGAAAUGCGUAGAGAUGUGGAGGAACACCGAUGGCGAAGGCAGCCCCCUGGGUCGACACUGACGCUCAUGCACGAAAGCGUGGGGAGCAAACAGGAUUAGAUACCCUGGUAGUCCACGCCCUAAACGAUGCGAACUAGUGUUGGGGAAGGAGACUUCUUUAGUACCGUAGCUAACGCGUGAAGUUCGCCGCCCUGGGGAGUACGGUCGCAGAUUAAAACUCAAGGAAUUGACGGGGACCCGCACAAGCGGUGGAUGAUGUGGAUUAAUUCGAUGCAACGCGAAAAACCUUACCUACCUUGAACAUGCCCGGAACCCUGGUGAGAAGCUGGGGGGUGCCCGAAAGGAACGGACACAGGGUGCUGCAUGGCUGUCGUCAGCUCUGGUCGUGAAAAUGUUUCGGUUAAGUUCCCGCAACGGAGCGCACCCUUGGUCAAUUAAUUGGCAAUCAUGGCUUGGCACUUUAUGGAACUGCCGGUGACCAUCGGGAGGAAGGGUGGGG